rnacentral:rRNA from 1 species
UAUUAUGAGAGUUUGAUCCUGGCUCAGGACGAACGCUGGCGGCGUGCCUAAUACAUGCAAGUCGAACGCUUCUUUCCUCCCGAGUGCUUGCACUCAAUUGGAAAGAGGAGUGGCGGACGGGUGAGUAACACGUGGGUAACCUACCCAUCAGAGGGGGAUAACACUUGGAAACAGGUGCUAAUACCGCAUAACAGUUUAUGCCGCAUGGCAUAAGAGUGAAAGGCGCUUUCGGGUGUCGCUGAUGGAUGGACCCGCGGUGCAUUAGCUAGUUGGUGAGGUAACG